rnacentral:rRNA from 1 species
GGAGAGAGAUAUACCGGCCCCAAGACUCCUACGGAGCCAGCAGUAUGGGAUUUUCACAAUGGACGAAGUCUGAUGAGGCAUUGCGCGUGAGUGAUGACGUCUCGAUGUAAAGCUCUGUGUAAGGGGAAGAAAAUACUAGAAGAGAAAUGCUUUUAGUUUGACGGUACCUUACCAGAAAGCCACGGCUAACUAUGUGCCAGCAGCCGCGGUAAUACAUAGGUGGCAAGCGUUAUCCGGGAUUUAUUGGGCGUAUAGGGUGCGUAGGCGGUUAGUUAAGUUUGAGGUCAAAGCCCGGGGCUCAACCCCCGGUUCGCCUUGAAAACUGGCUGACUAGAAUACAGGAGAGGUAGAUGGAAUUCCAUGUGUAGCGGUGAAAUGCGUAGAUAUAUGGAGGAACACCAGUGGCGUAGGCGGUCUACUGGCCUGUUAUUGACGCUGAGGCACGAAAGCGUGGGGAGCAAAUAGGAUUAGAUACCCUAGUAGUCCACGCCGUAAACGUUGAGUACUAAGUGUCGGCAUUAUGUCGGUGCUGCAGCUAACGCAUUAAGUACUCCGCCUGAGUAGUAUGCUCGCAAGAGUGAAACUCAAAGGAAUUGACGGGGACCCGCACAAGUGGUGGAGCAUGUGGUUUAAUUCGAAGCAACGCGAAGAACCUUACCAGGGCUUGACAUCCAGUGCAAAGCUACAGAGAUGUAGUGGAGGUUAACAUUGAGACAGGUGGUGCAUGGUUGUCGUCAGCUCGUGCCGUGAGGUGUUGGGUUAAGUCCCGCAACGAGCGCAACCCUUAUCAUUAGUUACUAACAUUCAGUUGAGCACUCUAAUGAGACUGCUAGUGUAAGCUAGAGGAAGGUGGGGAUGACGUCAAAUCAUCAUGCCCCUUAUGUCCUGGGCUACACACGUGCUACAAUGGCUGGUACAAAGAGUUGCAAUCCCGCGAGGGGGAGCUAAUCUCAAAAAGCCAGUCUCAGUUCGGAUUGAAGUCUGCAACUCGACUUCAUGAAGCCGGAAUCACUAGUAAUCGCGAAUCAGCAAUGUCGCGGUGAAUACGUUCUCGGGUCUUGUACACACCGCCCGUCACACCAUGAGAGUUGGUAAUACCAGAAGUAUGUAUCUUAACCGCAAGGAGGGAGCGUACCAAGGUAGGACUAGCGAUUAGGGUGAAGUCGUAACAAGGUAACCGUA